rnacentral:rRNA from 1 species
AUUGAACGCUGGCGGAAUGCUUUACACAUGCAAGUCGAACGGUAGAGGGGGCAACCCCUCGAGAGUGGCGAACGGGUGAGUAAUAUAUCGGAACGUGCCCAGUCGUGGGGGAUAACGUAGCGAAAGUUACGCUAAUACCGCAUGCGAUCUAAGGAUGAAAGCGGGGGAUCGCAAGACCUCGCGCGAUUGGAGCGGCCGAUAGCAGAUUAGGUAGUUGGUGGGGUAAAGGCUCACCAAGCCAACGAUCUGUAGCUGGUCUGAGAGGACGACCAGCCACACUGGAACUGAGACACGGUCCAGACUCCUACGGGAGGCAGCAGUGGGGAAUUUUGGGCAAUGAACCAAAGUCUGAUCCAGCCAUUCCGCGUGCAGGAUGAAGGCCCCCGGGUUGUAAACUGCUUUUGUACGGAACGAAAAGGUCUCUCUUAAUACGGGGGACUCAUGACGGUACCGUAAGAAUAAGCACCGGCUAACUACGUGCCAGCCGCCGCGGUAA